UCCUUGAAUCAGGACACUUGACAGUUUCAGGUGGGCAGUUUUUCUGGGGCGGAAGCCUCAUAAAGGGUAACUGAGGCGCGCAAAGGUCCCCUCAGUCUGGACGGAAAUCAGACAACGAGUGUAAAGGCAAAAGGGGGCUUGACUGCAAGACCUACAAGUCGAGCAGGAGCGAAAGCUGGCCUUAGUGAUCCGACGGUACCGCGUGGAAGGGCCGUCGCUCAACAAAUAAAAGUUACUCUAGUGAUAACAGGCUGAUCUUCUCCAAGAGUUCACAUCGACGAGAAGGUUUGGCACCUCGAUGUCGGCUCAUCACAUCCUGGGGCUGUAGUAGGUCCCAAGGGUUGGGCUGUUCGCCCAUUAAAGUGGUACGUGAGCUGGGUUCAGAACGUAAAUAAUACUGCGUUUAGCUGUAGU
rnacentral:rRNA from 1 species